rnacentral:rRNA from 1 species
GACGAAGGUGGCGAGCGUUGUUCGGAAUCACUGGGCAUAAAGCGCACGUAGGCGGUGUCGUAAGUCGGGUGUGAAAUCCCUCGGCCUAACCGAGGAACUGCGCCCGAUACUGCGAUGCUUGAGGACCAGAGGGGUGCAUGGAAUUUCCGGUGGAGCGGUGAAAUGCGUUGAUAUCGGAAGGAACUCCGGCGGCGAAAGCGAUGCACUGGCUGGUUUCUGACGCUGAGGUGCGAAAGCCAGGGGAGCAAACAGG